CCUACGGGAGGCAGCAGUGAGGAAUAUUGGUCAAUGGUCGAGAGGCUGAACCAGCCAAGUCGCGUGAGGGAAGACGGCCCUACGGGUUGUAAACCUCUUUUGUCGGGGAGCAAAGCGAGUCACGUGUGACUCAUUGAGAGUACCCGAAGAAAAAGCAUCGGCUAACUCCGUGCCAGCAGCCGCGGUAAUACGGAGGAUGCGAGCGUUGUCCGGAAUCAUUGGGCGUAAAGAGUUCGUAGGUGGCAUAUUAAGUCUGGUGUUAAAUGCAGAAGCUCAACUUCUGUUCGGCACUGGAUACUGGUAAGCUUGAAUGCGGUAGAGGUAAAGGGAAUUCCUGGUGUAGCGGUGAAAUGCGUAGAUAUCAGGAGGAACAUCGGUGGCGUAAGCGCUUUACUGGGCCGUAAUUGACACUGAGGAACGAAAGCCGGGGUAGCAAAUGGGAUUAGAUACCCCAGUAGUC
rnacentral:rRNA from 1 species